GAUGAACGCUGGCGGCGUGCCUAAUACAUGCAAGUCGAGCGAACGGACGGGAAGCUUUCUUUUCUGAUGUGAGCGGCGGACGGGUGAUGAACACGUGGAUAACCGACCUAUAAGACUGGGAUAACUUCGGGAAACCGGAUCUAAUACCGGACAAUAUUUUGAAAGGCAGGGAUCAAAAGUGAACGACGGUCUUGCUGUCACUUAGAGAGGGAUCCGCGCUGCAUUAGCUAGUUGGUAAGGUAACGGCUUACCAAGGCAACGAUGCAUAGCUGACCUGAGAGGAUGAUCAGCCACACUGGAACUGAGACACGGUCCAGACUCCUACGGGAGGCAGCAGUGGGGAAUAUUGGACAAUGGGCGAAAGCCUGACGCAGCCACGCCGCGUGUGUGAAGAAGGUCUUCGGAUCGUAAAGCUCUGUUAUUAGGGAGGAACGGCAGUGUGUGUAUCCGUGGCUGUCUUGACGGUACCUACAGAAAAAGCACCGGCUAACUUCGUG
rnacentral:rRNA from 1 species